AACGAACGCUGGCGGCGUGCCUAACACAUGCAAGUCGAACGAGAAAGGGGCGCCUGCUCCUGGUAUCGUGGCCCGCCGGUUGGUUACUCCUGGGUAACCUGCCUCUUAGAUUGGGAUAACGCCCCGAAAGGUGAGCUAAUACCGCAUACGACCACAGGUCGCACGUGAACAGUCUUCAGAGCUAGCCCCUUCUGACAAGCUAAAGUCGGAUUAGCUAGUUGGUGGGGUAAAGGCCUACCAAGGCGACGAUCCGUACCUGGUCAGAGAGGAUGAUCAGUCACACUGGAACUGAGACACGGGCCAGAAUCCUACGGGAGGCAGCAGUGGGGAAUAUUGGACAAUGGGCGAAAGCCUGAUCCAGCCAUGCCGCGUGUGUGAAGAAGGUCUUCGGAUUGUAAAGCACUUUAAGUUGGGAGGAAGGGCAGUAAGUUAAUACCUUGCUGUUUUGACGGUACCAACAGAAUAAGCGCCGGCUAACUUCGUG
rnacentral:rRNA from 1 species